rnacentral:rRNA from 1 species
AUUGAACGCUGGCGGCAGGCCUAACACAUGCAAGUCGAGCGGAUGAAGGGAGCUUGCUCCUGGAUUCAGCGGCGGACGGGUGAGUAAUGCCUAGGAAUCUGCCUGGUAGUGGGGGAUAACGUCCGGAAACGGGCGCUAAUACCGCAUACGUCCUGAGGGAGAAAGUGGGGGAUCUUCGGACCUCACGCUAUCAGAUGAGCCUAGGUCGGAUUAGCUAGUUGGUGGGGUAAAGGCCGACCAAGGCGACGAUCCGUAACUGGUCUGAGAGGAUGAUCAGUCACACUGGAACUGAGACACGGUCCAGACUCCUACGGGAGGCAGCAGUGGGGAAUAUUGGACAAUGGGCGAAAGCCUGAUCCAGCCAUGCCGCGUGUGUGAAGAAGGUCUUCGGAUUGUAAAGCACUUUAAGUUGGGAGGAAGGGCAGUAAGUUAAUACCUUGCCGUUUUGACGUUACCAACAGAAUAAGCACCGGCUAACUUCGUG